rnacentral:rRNA from 1 species
GGACUACCGGGGUUUCUAAUCCUGUUUGAUCCCCGCACUUUCGAGCCUCAGUGUCAGUUAUAGUUUUGUGAGCUGCCUUCGCAAUCGGUGUUCUAUGACAUCUCUAAGUAUUUCACCACUACAUGUCAUAUUCCGCCCACAGCAACUAUACUCAAGCCCUACAGUAUCAAUGGCAAUUCUGUUGUUAAGCAACAGGCUUUCACCACUGACUUAUAAGGCCACCUACGCUCCCUUUAAACCCAAUAAAUCCGGAUAACGCUUGCAUCCUUCGUCUUACCGCGGCUGCUGGCAC